GCCAAGUUAAAUUAAUUAACUCAACAAAGAAGAACAAAGAAAAUCGCAACAAAGAAGUGAACUGAAACAGAGUUUCCUCAAAAAUGGCAAAAAACUUGAGCACUUUCUCUAUCUCUCAUUCCCUACAACCUCGUAUUGGAACUCAAAUUUUCACGCAUUUCCAGUGCAUUCCCAAUUACAACAGCAAUGUUCCAAGUAACAAAUUCCACAAAUUUGGGUCCAGAAUUGAAAACAAUGGACCACGGAAAGCGGGUCGGGUCCAGAUUCGGGCUAUGUCGGGUUCAUUCGGGUCCCGAUUAGAGGAGAGUGUGAAAAAGACCGUUACUGAAAACCCAGUUGUUGUCUACUCCAAAUCUUGGUGUUCGUACUCUACUGAGGUGAAAGUUCUGUUCAAAAGACUUGGUGUAGAUCCACUUGUUAUUGAAUUGGACGAAAUGGGUCCCCAAGGACCACAGCUGCAGAAAGUGCUGGAAAGGCUUACUGGACAGCAUACAGUUCCCAAUGUAUUCAUUGGUGCCAAACACAUUGGUGGUUGUACAGAUACUAUUAAGCUGUAUCGGAAAGGAGAACUUGAAUCUUUGCUAUCGGAAGCUAAGGCUGGAAAAAUGGAGAGCUAGGCUCUUUUGAGCUAUCCGUGCCAAAGCGAUCCUAUCUUGCUCUCCUUGCCCAAGAUGCAUAUAAAUUCUGUCAUUGGCCUAUUCCAGUAAGAGGGAUCAAUUCAAUAAUUCCAGUUUGAAUAAAAGAGAAGAUUGCAAAGGCUACUGAACUUAUUAAGAAGACUCAAUCCGAAGCUGCAUGGUUGUACUUUUGUGGUGCAUAAGACGUUCCUCAGGACAUCCUGAAGAUUCCAGCCUUCUUUUGUCAACUACUUGAUGUUAUUAGGAGGAUUGACUUCUUGUUUGCUGCUGGUGGGAUCUCUGUACCACUGACUCUUAUUUUUCUUAUGUUCCUUGCCACAAUCACAACGAAUAUGGAAAUUGAAGCAUAUCCAGAUAGUGUGCCCGAAAAGAAAAAGAGUAGAGAUUGGAAAUUUUCUUAGCCUUGGAAUGACAAAAGAGUUGAAGUCUCACAUUGAAGUGGCAGUACAGCAAACUAAAGCUCGACUGAGUUCGAUAGACUUUUUCUUGUGUUCGAAGAAGAUAAUGUUUUGACGUACUUUUCUUUGAUCAAAGAUUGAUCAAGUUUUCACUAAACGUAUGGUAGAAGAUUGUGAAAUUAGUUAUUGGAGUUCCUGAGAAUUUAGUUAGUCUGGAGUUGGUACCAGCAAUGUGAGCGAGCUCCUACAUGCUGUGUAAUUUAUUGUUUUGCAUGAUAUUAGUUUGAGAUGAGUUUAAAUGUAACUACAUGAUCAAUGAGGAUCCAUAUAGCAACAACAUACCCAGUGUAAUCCCACAAGUGGGGUCUAGGGAUGGUUGAAGUGUACACAGACUUUACCCUACCUUGGAAGGUAGAGAGGCUGUUUC